rnacentral:rRNA from 1 species
CCUACGGGAGGCAGCAGUGAGGAAUAUUGGUCAAUGGACGAGAGUCUGAACCAGCCAAGUCGCGUGAAGGAUGACUGCCCUAUGGGUUGUAAACUUCUUUUAUAUGGGAAUAAAAUGUUCCACGUGUGGGAUUUUGUAUGUACCAUAUGAAUAAGGAUCGGCUAACUCCGUGCCAGCAGCCGCGGUAAUACGGAGGAUACGAGCGUUAUCCGGAUUUAUUGGGUUUAAAGGGAGCGUAGGUGGAUUGUUAAGUCAGUUGUGAAAGUUUGCGGCUCAACCGUAAAAUGGCAGUUGAAACUGGCAGUCUUGAGUACAGAAGAGGUGAGCGGAAUUCGAGGUGUAGCGGUGAAAUGCUUAGAGAUAACGAAGAACUCCGAUUGCGAAGGCAACUCACUGGUCUGCAACUGACACUGAUGCUCGAAAGUGUGGGGAUCAAACAGGAUUAGAUACCCGAGUAGUC